AAUUACUUGCCAGCUGUACAGUUUGAGUAAAUAGUGAAAUAAAAGCAUCAUGUUUAAUUGCAGCUCUUUAUUUUCUUUGACCUGUCUCUUAAUUUCAAUCAGCACACCUGUGAUCAAUCAUCAGUCAGCCCUCCUGUCCAUGAUGUUUGUCAAAUCCUAUGUCUACCUCUGUGUAUCUUCCCAUGUUACGAGCGCCAUUGUUUUGCCUGACGUUGUCGUUAAAAGGUGCUUUUAAAAAAAAUCCCAUGCUGAGACGUGGGUGCCUUCUGGCCACCUCAGAGUGAGAGGGGUUGAAGCCAGCCCUUUGGCAGUAACAGAGCCGAAACAGUCGACACGUGAAAAGGUUGACGUGGUGACGGGUGAUGGAGGGCGACAUGCCAGCAGGGCUGACGACUGGGGGCUGGGAUGCUAUCCCAUUUCCUGCUCGCUUCUUCAAGGGUAUGUGACUUAAAGAGGUGCUCUGGACAGAAUGGUGUCUUGGAUUCAGAGAGCUGCAUGAACAGCACAGAGGACCUCCUCAGAGCAGCCAGUGUGUGACACAAAAACCCACAUUAAAGCAGUCGUUUGCACUGUUACUUCCCAGCACUGCAAUGGAAAGACGCCACUUUUUAAAGUGCUAACAGCAGAGUUAGAGCUGGCAUUCUACUGACCUGUGUGUGAAGACAGAGACAUAAAGAGAUGUCGGCUGAAGAUUUAACUUAUAAAUACAGAGAUCCUGAAUGCUACAGUACGUGGCUGUUAUGCUAGCUUGAUAAUUAAAAAGCAAUAAAUGAUACUAAUUGUGUCAACAUGGAAAUUUAGUAUAUUAAUGCAAAAAGUAUAAAUUAUUUUGUAACAAUUUUUUGUCCUAAUAAGUGUGUUAUUAUUUAAAAGCAGUGUUUUCUUGAGAUCUAGUGUUGUUGUACUCUUUAUCUUAAAAAUAAAUAAAUAAAUAAAUAAAUGAGGGGGAGGGGUGUAUUAUGCAAACUUGACUUUUUUAAGCUUUAUAUAAUGUCUUUCCCUCAUCAAACACACCCAGAGUGUUGCUUUGACUCAUUCGUGCAUGUUUG